rnacentral:lncRNA from 1 species
AUAUUAUGCACAAACUUAUGUCGGUCGGUCAUCCACAGUCAAACGGUGAGAUGGAAGUAACCAACCGAACAAAUCUACACGGGCUAUAAACCUGACUAAAUGAAGCCAAAGGCCUCUGGAUAGAAAAAUUAUAUUCGAUCUUAUGGACAUAUCGAAUGACUCUCCACAUACCAACUGGAGAAUCUCCUUUCAACUUAACUUAUGGGACAGAAGCAAUGAUACCGCUU